rnacentral:rRNA from 1 species
GACGAACGCUGGCGGCGUGCUUAACACAUGCAAGUCGAACGGAAAGGCCCUGCUUUUGUGGGGUGCUCGAGUGGCGAACGGGUGAGUAACACGUGAGUAACCUGCCCUUGACUUUGGGAUAACUUCAGGAAACUGGGGCUAAUACCGGAUAGGAGCUCCUGCUGCAUGGUGGGGGUUGGAAAGUUUCGGCGGUUGGGGAUGGACUCGCGGCUUAUCAGCUUGUCGGUGGGGUAGUGGCUUACCAAGGCUUUGACGGGUAGCCGGCCUGAGAGGGUGACCGGCCACAUUGGGACUGCGAUACGGCCCAGACUCCUACGGGCGGCAGCAGUGGGGAAUAUUGCACAAUGGGCGGAAGCCUGAUGCAGCAACGCCGCGUGCGGGAUGCCGUCCUUCGGGUUGUAAACCGCUUUCGCCUGUGACGAAGCGUGAGUGACGGUAAUGGGUAAAGAAGCACCGGCUAACUACGUG